rnacentral:tRNA from 1 species
GUUAUGGCUCAGUGGUAGAGCAAUUGCCUAGCAUGUAUGAGGCCAUGGGUUCAAUCCUCAGCAUCACA